rnacentral:tRNA from 1 species
GGUGGCUCAGUGGUAGAGCACUUGCCUUGCAUGCAUGAAACCCUAGGUUCAAUUCCUCAGCACCA